CUUUAACCAAAGAACUGAAAGAAAAAUGGCUGACAGAUAUCCCACUCCACCCCUUUUUUUACCUGUGACGGGUACCUGCAUAUUCAUCUAGGAAGCCCAGUAAACCGUUAAAAGAAAAAGAAAAAGAGCAAUAUACAUCGAGUCCAUAAGUAGAAUUUUGUUGUUUGAAUGGAUCAGAAACGUUUUCUCCAAAGAGGCGAAGCUAUAGAAUAGCCGGUACUCUCUGCUUGUGUAUAUGCAUGCGACAUAAGUUGAGAGGCCUAAUAAAAUCGAGAAAGACGAAAAACAUGGCCGUAGGGCUGAUGGUCGCAUUCCAACCUUUCACUUGUAAACUCCUCGGCAGAGGUUGAAGGCGCAUUUAACGGUUAUUGGUCUUCUUUUUUGUUGUUGUUCCACAAGUCACGAGAGACAAAAUAAAAAGUAAAAAGAUGAGGAAUGACAGAAAAACCUAAAUUUCCAUCAAUUUUCGAUGCCGUCAAUGUGGCUGCCACGCCCCAUCCAUAGCCAGAAAAAGUGUUCGUGUCUGAAGAACGGAAGCAAAAAGAAACGACAAGACGACGACAUGGCGUCGACCGCGUGUUGAAGUUGGGUUGGCACUGUUGGAGUUGUUCCGCGUGAUGGAUGCCGAGGAUUUUGCGGUUGACCUUGAAAAACACUCACGAACGCUCUUUUAAGAUCCGGAUUCAUUUCCUCUUUUUCUUUAUUUUUUUAUUUUUAUUUUUUUUCUUUAUUUUAUUCUUUUAUCGAAAUAUGUAUAUAUAUUUCUGAUUUUCUGUAUGUUUUUGAAGAAGGUAGAAGGUUACACAAUAAAUGGUUUGGAGGUGGGCUGAUCUGGGGUGGUGAUUCGUGUGCGUCAUCAUUGGCAGACGGGUCAUGGCCAUUUUUGUUUUGUUAAAAAUUCCCAGAAAGGAUUUCCAAAUAGGAUGUCCGUUUCUUAUGUUCAUUUGAUGGAGUGCAUUAAAUGACAAUUGAGUGCAGAGUGUGUAGACUGUAUAUGUUAGCUCGAUGCCCCCGAGGGUGUUUAAUUCAUUCGCUGUUAAAAAAAAACAAAAACAAAAAAAAAAUCAAUGAUCACAUCAUCAUCCAAUAUUGAAUCGACUUACCAUGUCAUUUCAUAUUUUCCUUUGCGAAAUACAUGGAGCAAUCAAU